rnacentral:rRNA from 1 species
GAUCAUGGCUCAGGAUGAACGCUAGCUACAGGCUUAACACAUGCAAGUCGAGGGGCAGCGGGAUUGAAGCUUGCUUCAAUUGCCGGCGACCGGCGCACGGGUGAGUAACGCGUAUCCAACCUUCCGUACACUCGAGGGAUAGCCUUUACGAAAGAAAGAUUAAUACCUGAUGGUAUGAUGAGAUUGCAUGAUAUCAUCAAUUAAAGAUUUAUCGGUGUACGAGUGGGGA